rnacentral:rRNA from 1 species
UACGUAGGGGGCAAGCGUUGUCCGGAUUUAUUGGGCGUAAAGAGCGUGUAGGCGGUUAGGUAGGUCCGUUGUGAAAACUCGAGGCUCAACCUCGAGACGCCGAUGGAAACCAUCUGACUAGAGUCCGGAAGAGGAGAGUGGAAUUCCUGGUGUAGCGGUGAAAUGCGCAGAUAUCAGGAGGAACACCGACGGCGAAGGCAGCACUCUGGGCCGGUACUGACGCUGAGGAGCGAAAGCAUGGGGAGCGAACAGG